rnacentral:rRNA from 1 species
GAUGAACGCUGGCGGCGUGCCUAAUACAUGCAAGUCGAGCGAACGGACGAGAAGCUUGCUUCUCUGAUGUUAGCGGCGGACGGGUGAGUAACACGUGGAUAACCUACCUAUAAGACUGGGAUAACUUCGGGAAACCGGAGCUAAUACCGGAUGAUAUUUUGAACCGCAUGGUUCAAAAGUGAAAGACGGUCUUGCUGUCACUUAUAGAUGGAUCCGCGCUGCAUUAGCUAGUUGGUAAGGUAACGGCUUACCAAGGAAACGAUGCAUAGCCGACCUGAGAGGGCGAUCGGCCACACUGGAACUGAGACACGGUCCAGACUCCUACGGGAGGCAGCAGUAGGGAAUCUUCCGCAAUGGGCGAAAGCCUGACGGAGCAACGCCGCGUGAGAGAUGAAGGUCUUCGGAUCGUAAAACUCUGUUAUUAGGGAAGAACAUAUGUGUAAGUAACUGUGCACAUCUUGACGGUACCUAAUCAGAAAGCCACGGCUAACUACGUG